rnacentral:lncRNA from 1 species
UGAAGAAGCAAUGAGUAAACGGUGUUUACGUAAGGACUAAAAUUUUUGCUGUAUAGAUAAAUUCUGUGUUGACGAUAUUUUUGUGUAUAGUUUAAUUACAUAAAUAUUCGUUAAGUUUCAGAAGAAAAUGAAUUAGGAUGGAGAAGUUACGCGAUCUUUAGUAAUGAUUUAAAGUGAAUAGUAACUCGGGUUAUCCGAAGAGGCCAAUUAGUGGAGAUGAUUUCUGGUGCGUAUUGGACUCUGAUUAUAGUUAUCCAAUGGCUCAUUUUCAAUAGUUCGACUGUUCUGAACUCAUUGGCACUAACGGAUUUGGGUUAUAAAUCCAAAAGGAUCACUUUAAUU